UACGUAGGGACCAAGCGUUGUUCGGAUUUACCGGGCGUAAAGGGCGGGUAGGCGGCCACCGCAAGUCAGUUGUGAAAUCUCUGGGCUUAACCCAGAAAGGUCAACUGAUACUGCGGGGCUAGAGUGCAGAAGGGGCAACUGGAAUUCUCGGUGUAGCGGUGAAAUGCGUAGAUAUCGAGAGGAACACCUGAGGUGAAGACGGGUUGCUGGGCUGACACUGACGCUGAGGCGCGAAAGCCAGGGGAGCAAACGGG
rnacentral:rRNA from 1 species